CUUUAUUUACUAACUCCUGAAACAGAUCAUUAGAAGACAACAUAUAGCAAGGUCCUUUGCAGGAGGAAGAUAAAUCACAGCAUUCAGCUAAAAAACCCAAAACAAAAACCCAUGACAAAAUCGUGUUUAUGAAGAAGAUUCCCUCAUGCCUAGAGGUUGAAGAUUGCAUCGCAGGCCAUCAUUUGACCAGCAAGAGUUGCUUCUGCUCCAUCUUCAUUACUGGACAGGCCAGCGGAAACAGCAUUGAAGUGCUGCUGUGCAGCAGCCAAAGCUUCAGCAUCUUUAUUACUUGCUUCUUGAAGGGCACUCAGCCCAUCUGUCAUCUUUUUAACCUCUUUUUCCUUUGCUGCUAAAGUUUUAGAAUCCUUUAGGAAGAGUUUCAGAUUGGAAAGUAUUAUAUUUUAGAAAACCAUCCAUUUUCUUAAACACAUAUACCUUUAUGUCAUCAAAUUUCACAGCAAUUUGAAGUGAACAUGGUAAUUUAACCAUCAUAACUUUAUACUUUAUUCCCAUUUUGAAAUUCAGCCUUUCUCAGUUUUUAGGAUAAAUGUACCUCUUAUCCUAGUAAUACUUUCAUUCCGUAUGUUAUAGUCAAAUCUGGGAGACAGUGAACUAAAACAUCAUUGCAAAUUUAAACAAACCACUUGAAAAAACUAAAAAUCAAGUUCUAAACCUAUAAAAUUGAAAUAAUAACCACCCUACCCAAAGCUUCAAAGUAGAGAUUUUAGGAUUAAGAGCAUGAAUAGGAAAAUAUAAGCUAUUAAAGGCCAUAAAUUUAAGUGUUAAAUAAUUAUGGGAACAGCAUUACUAACACUUAACACCUUUUAAGUUCUAGUAACCAGGUAUCUAAUGCUAUGUAAGAUACCAGCACUGAAAGAAAAAAAAAAGAAAAAAAAUAUCUAGUCACAGUUACAUGAAAGUGACCAGAAAUUUUGGCUCACUUAAUUCAUGAUUCAUUGGAUAUUUAUUAGAUAUGUACCAGGCAUUAUUCUAGACAUUAAAGACAUAGGGUCCUCAGGGAGCCUACAUUUCUAAGGUGGAAGACAUAGUAAACAAAUAACUAAAGCAAGGUAAAGGGACAAGAAAUGAUGGGACUACUGUUUUAAGAAUGAUGACGGAAGCCCUUUUGUGAUGAUAUUUUGAGCAGAAACCUAAAUGAAACAAAAGGAGUGAUCAUGCUAAUACUAGGGGGACAGCAUACUUGGCAAGCUCUGAGGAAUAUGCUUGGGUGUUAGAGGAACUGUGGUUGGAGCACAGUGAGCAAGUGAAAGCAAGGUAACUAUUAAGGACACUACUGAGUAUCCCUCCUGGGAGGUGAUGGGUUCAACCAGGUUAGCAGUGAAGGAGGUGUGAAAAGUGGCUGUAUUCUGGAUAUACUUUUAGAGUCAACAGAAUUUGUUGAUGAACUAGAUACCAUAGAGUUUGAGAGAAAAGGGAAAAUUCAGGAGGACUCCAGGUUCUGGAGUGAACAGCUAGGUUAAUAGUGGUAUCAUUUACUUACAUGAGAAAAAUUCAGUAACUCAGGCAGGUUUGGGUAGGUAGGGAAAAUUUAAGAGUUCUAUUUUGGUUAUGUUAAGUUUUAGACUUCUAAAGUCAUCCAUAUAAAAAUGUCAAUUAAAUAGCUUGACAAAUGAGUCCUUCAAAGAAGGAGUCAAGGCUAAUUAUUGAUUUGAAAGGCAUCAAUAUAUAGACGGUAUUUAGGGCUAUAGGGCUGUAUGGGAUCACCUAAGAAAUGAGUGUAUAUAAAAGAAGUCUGAGCACUAGCCCUGGGGCAUGCCAGCAUAUGUAUUUUGAUUUGUAUUUUCAACCUGGAUUCAAGGUUCAUAUAUUCAACUAUCAAACCAACAUCUCUACUUAGAUGUCUAACUGGCUCCUCAAGCCUAUUAUCCUCCACUCAACAAAUGGUAACCAUAUUUCACACUGUCAAAGACAAAUCUCUGGAGUUAUCCUUCAGUCCUUUUUCACAGUCAAAAACCAAUCUGCUGGCACUACUUACAACAGCCAAGACAUGAAAACAACUUAAAUGUCCAUGGACAGAGGAAUGGAUAAAGAUGUAGUGUGUAUGUACACACCCACACACACA